ACAGCCUUGAAGGAGUGUAUAGAGGUGUGUUCAGUCUUGAAGGAGUGUUUGGAGGUGUGUUCAGCCUUGAAGGAGUGUUUGGAGGUGUGUUCAGUCUUGAAGGAGUGUAUAGAGGUAUGUUCAGCCUUGAAGGAGUGUUUGGAGGUGUGUUGAGUCUUGAAGGAGUGUUUGGAGGUGUGUUCAGUCUUGAAGGAGUGUUUGGAGGUGUGUUCAGUCUUGAAGGAGUGUUUGGAGGUGUGUUCAGCCUUGAAGGAGUGUUUGGAGGUGUGUUCAGCCUUGAAGGAGUGUUUGGAGGUGUGUUCAGUCUUGAAGGAGUGUUUGGAGGUGUGUUCAGCCUUGAAGGAGUGUUUUUAGGUGUGUUCAGUCUUGAAGGAGUGUUUGGAGAUGUGUUCAGUCUUGAAGGAGUGUUUGGAGGUGUGUUGAGUCUUGAAGGAGUGUUUGGAGGUGUGUUCAGUCUUGAAGGAGUGUUCAGGUGUGUUGAGUCUUGAAGGAGUGUUUGGAGGUGUGUUCAGUCUUGAAGGAGUGUUUGGAGGUGUGUUCAGUCUUGAAGGAGUGUUUGGAGGUGUGUUCAGUCUUGAAGGAGUGUAUGGAGGUGUGUUCAGUCUUGAAGGAGUGUAUGGAGGUGUGUUCAGCCUUGAAGGAGUGUUUGGAGGUGUGUUCAGUCUUGAAGGAGUGUUUGGAGGUGUGUUGAGUCUUGAAGGAGUGUUUGGAGGUGUGUUGAGUCUUGAAGGAGUGUUUGGAGGUGUGUUCAGCCUUGAAGGAGUGUUUGGAGGUGUGCUCAGCCUUGAAGGAGUGUUUGGAGGUGUGUUCAGUCAUGAAGGAGUGUUUGGAGGUGUUUGGAGGUGUGUUCACUCUUGAAGGAGUGUUUGGAGGUGUGUUCAGUCUUGAAGGAGUGUUUGGAGGUGUGUUCAGUCUUGAAGGAGUGUUUGGAGGUGUGUUCAGUCUUGAAGGAGUGUAUGGAGGUGUGUUCAGUCUUGAAGGAGUGUUUGGAGGUGUGUUCAGUCUUGAAGGAGUGUUUGUAGGUGUUUGUAGGUGUGUUCAGCCUUGAAGGAGUGUUUGUAGGUGUUUGGAGAUGUGUUCAGUCUUGAAGGAGUGUUUGGAGGUGUUUGGAGGUGUGUUCAGUCUUGAAGGAGUGUUUGGAGGUGUGUUCAGUCUUGAAGGAGUGUUUGUAGGUGUUUGUAGGUGUGUUCAGCCUUGAAGGAGUGUUUGUAGGUGUUUGGAGAUGUGUUCAGUCUUGAAGGAGUGUUUGGAGGUGUAUGGAGGUGUGUUCAGUCUUGAAGGAGUGUUUGGAGGUGUGUUCAGUCUUGAAGGAGUGUUUGGAGGUGUGUUCAGUCUUGAAGGAGUGUUUGGAGGUGUGU